rnacentral:rRNA from 27 species
GGGUUGUGAGGUUAAGCGACUAAGCGUACACGGUGGAUGCCCUGGCAGUCAGAGGCGAUGAAGGGCGUACUAAUCUGCGAUAAGCGCCGGUAAGGUGAUAUGAACCGUUAUAACCGGCGAUACCCGAAUGGGGAAACCCAGUGUGAUUCGUCACACUAUCAUUAACUGAAUCCAUAGGUUAAUGAGGCGAACCGGGGGAACUGAAACAUCUAAGUACCCCGAGGAAAAGAAAUCAACCGAGAUUCCCCCAGUAGCGGCGAGCGAACGGGGAGGAGCCCAGAGCCUGAAUCAGCAUGUGUGUUAGUGGAAGCGUCUGGAAAGGCGCGCGAUACAGGGUGACAGCCCCGUACACAAAAGCGCAUGUGCUGUGAGCUCGAUGAGUAGGGCGGGACACGUGGUAUCCUGUCUGAAUAUGGGGGGACCAUCCUCCAAGGCUAAAUACUCCUGACUGACCGAUAGUGAACCAGUACCGUGAGGGAAAGGCGAAAAGAACCCCGGCGAGGGGAGUGAAAAAGAACCUGAAACCGUGUACGUACAAGCAGUGGGAGCACAGGUUUACCUGUGUGACUGCGUACCUUUUGUAUAAUGGGUCAGCGACUUAUAUUCUGUAGCAAGGUUAACCGAAUAGGGGAGCCGGAGGGAAACCGAGUCUUAAUUGGGCGUUAAGUUGCAGGGUAUAGACCCGAAACCCGGUGAUCUAGCCAUGGGCAGGUUGAAGGUUGGGUAACACUAACUGGAGGACCGAACCGACUAAUGUUGAAAAAUUAGCGGAUGACCUGUGGCUGGGGGUGAAAGGCCAAUCAAACCGGGAGAUAGCUGGUUCUCCCCGAAAGCUAUUUAGGUAGCGCCUCGUGAAUUCAUCUCCGGGGGUAGAGCACUGUUUCGGCUAGGGGGCCAUCCCGGCUUACCAACCCGAUGCAAACUGCGAAUACCGGAGAAUGUUAUCACGGGAGACACACGGCGGGUGCUAACGUCCGUCGUGAAGAGGGAAACAACCCAGACCGCCAGCUAAGGUCCCAAAGUCAUGGUUAAGUGGGAAACGAUGUGGGAAGGCCCAGACAGCCAGGAUGUUGGCUUAGAAGCAGCCAUCAUUUAAAGAAAGCGUAAUAGCUCACUGGUCGAGUCGGCCUGCGCGGAAGAUGUAACGGGGCUAAACCAUGCACCGAAGCUGCGGCAGCGACGCUUAUGCGUUGUUGGGUAGGGGAGCGUUCUGUAAGCCUGCGAAGGUGGCCUGUGAGGGUUGCUGGAGGUAUCAGAAGUGCGAAUGCUGACAUAAGUAACGAUAAAGCGGGUGAAAAGCCCGCUCGCCGGAAGACCAAGGGUUCCUGUCCAACGUUAAUCGGGGCAGGGUGAGUCGACCCCUAAGGCGAGGCCGAAAGGCGUAGUCGAUGGGAAACGGGUUAAUAUUCCCGUACUUGGUGUUACUGCGAAGGGGGGACGGAGAAGGCUAUGUUGGCCGGGCGACGGUUGUCCCGGUUUAAGCGUGUAGGUGUGUGUUCCAGGUAAAUCCGGUUCACUUUAACACUGAGGCGUGACGACGAGGCACUACGGUGCUGAAGCAACAAAUGCCCUGCUUCCAGGAAAAGCCUCUAAGCAUCAGGUAACAUCAAAUCGUACCCCAAACCGACACAGGUGGUCAGGUAGAGAAUACCAAGGCGCUUGAGAGAACUCGGGUGAAGGAACUAGGCAAAAUGGUGCCGUAACUUCGGGAGAAGGCACGCUGACACGUAGGUGAAGUGAUUUACUCAUGGAGCUGAAGUCAGUCGAAGAUACCAGCUGGCUGCAACUGUUUAUUAAAAACACAGCACUGUGCAAACACGAAAGUGGACGUAUACGGUGUGACGCCUGCCCGGUGCCGGAAGGUUAAUUGAUGGGGUCAGCGCAAGCGAAGCUCCUGAUCGAAGCCCCGGUAAACGGCGGCCGUAACUAUAACGGUCCUAAGGUAGCGAAAUUCCUUGUCGGGUAAGUUCCGACCUGCACGAAUGGCGUAAUGAUGGCCAGGCUGUCUCCACCCGAGACUCAGUGAAAUUGAACUCGCUGUGAAGAUGCAGUGUACCCGCGGCAAGACGGAAAGACCCCGUGAACCUUUACUAUAGCUUGACACUGAACAUUGAGCCUUGAUGUGUAGGAUAGGUGGGAGGCUUUGAAGUGUGGACGCCAGUCUGCAUGGAGCCGACCUUGAAAUACCACCCUUUAAUGUUUGAUGUUCUAACGUGGACCCGUUACCCGGGUUGCGGACAGUGUCUGGUGGGUAGUUUGACUGGGGCGGUCUCCUCCUAAAGAGUAACGGAGGAGCACGAAGGUUGGCUAAUCCUGGUCGGACAUCAGGAGGUUAGUGCAAUGGCAUAAGCCAGCUUGACUGCGAGCGUGACGGCGCGAGCAGGUGCGAAAGCAGGUCAUAGUGAUCCGGUGGUUCUGAAUGGAAGGGCCAUCGCUCAACGGAUAAAAGGUACUCCGGGGAUAACAGGCUGAUACCGCCCAAGAGUUCAUAUCGACGGCGGUGUUUGGCACCUCGAUGUCGGCUCAUCACAUCUGGGGCUGAAGUAGGUCCCAAGGGUAUGGCUGUUCGCCAUUUAAAGUGGUACGCGAGCUGGGUUUAGAACGUCGUGAGACAGUUCGGUCCCUAUCUGCCGUGGGCGCUGGAGAACUGAGGGGGGCUGCUCCUAGUACGAGAGGACCGGAGUGGACGCAUCACUGGUGUUCGGGUUGUCAUGCCAAUGGCACUGCCCGGUAGCUAAAUGCGGAAGAGAUAAGUGCUGAAAGCAUCUAAGCACGAAACUUGCCCCGAGAUGAGUUCUCCCUGAGACUUAAAGUCUCCUGAAGGAACGUUGAAGACGACGACGUUGAUAGGCCGGGUGUGUAAGCGCAGCGAUGCGUUGAGCUAACCGGUACUAAUGAACCGUGAGGCUUAACCUUACAACGCCGAAG